CUGCUUUCUCGCUACAUACGCUUCUUUAUAACAAUGCACCCCUGAGCCUCGCUUCAUAUUUUGGUUUAAGUGCUUCCAUUCUGCCAACUGUCUUGUUGGGAUCAGAAGUGAGAUCCAAAGAAACCCGCCAAUGACUCAGGCUGAUAUAAAGAAUUCUUUUUUUCAUCUAUUUUAAUCUAUAACUUAGAACAAUUUGACGGUACGUAUUUGCAACAAAGGUUGAAACAUUUAUCUUUUGCUCCCUAUCUGACCCCUGCAGAAUUUGGAAACUCUUACUGAAUACUAUUGUUUUUCAUGACAAUGUAUUAAUUUGCAUAAGUUCAGUAAGAAUCUUUUCUCCUUGUAAAGGGACUAACUGGGUAAAUCCUAGGCUUAGCUUCCUAGCUUCAAGAGGGUUUUGAAAGUCCAAUCUGAAAUUCCUUAUGAAAAAGUCCCAGCAAAACAGAUAUACUUGUUUUUAAUAUCUUAGUGUUUAUUUAUUUUUGAGAGAGAGAGCACAAGCGGAGGAGGGGCAGAGAGAGGAGGGAGACACAGAAUCCGAAGCAGGCUCCAGGCUCUGAGCUGUCAGCACAGAGCCCCAUGCAAGGCUUAAACUCAUGAACUGUGAGAUCUUAACCUGAGCUGAAGUCGGACGUUUAACCAACUAAGCCAGCCAGGCGUCCCAAAGCAGAUUUAAAAAAGCCUAUAUGGUCAAUCACUAUUCUUGCUGCACCUCUAUAAAUAUCCAGGCCAAGUUUAUUAAAACGAGACUUAAUUUGCAAACAAAUUAGUCUUACUGUGGUUUCUUUUCAUAGAAAUGGGGAUGAUUAUAAAGAGAAAAAUUAUGUUUCAGUCAUGUACCUUUGUAGAUACCAGAUUCCAGUGUUGUUAAUUGUCUUUGAGAUUUUGUUUUCCACCUAUAAACUGGAGUAGAUCCUGAAUACUUCAAAGUUUUCUCCAACAUUUGGCUAGAACUCUCCAAACUAACAUUUUCCAUUUUCUCUCACUCUUUUGACUUGCAAUCACUAUACAGCUAAAACUGCCCUUUUCUGGAAGCCAUGCAACUAAAGCUGGAUAACUUGAUAUACACUUCAAAGAAAUCAGCACAACAGCUCCUGUGUGGACAAUCUCCAUGCCUACUGCUAUGCAGCCACUCAGAGCUCACCAGAGACAUUCACAAUGCAAACCAGGAAUGUGUCAGAUUGCCGCUGCCUGCCUUCACUCCAUCUAAAGAUGCUUAGAACCCGACAUCUAGAAAUCUUCUCAACUGGCUGCUCUCCAAACUCAGAAACUGAAUUUAUAAUUUGCUUAAACUAUUAACCUUUGUUUUUCUUCUGUUUCCAUAGAAAUGCCUCUCAUUAAAUUACCUGAUUGCUCACAUCAGAAUGACACCUAAAGCAGGUGAAAAUUCACCUGCAACACUGCCUCCUGAAAUAAAACAUCCUCAUAUUCAUCCUGUCCUAAGUAAUCAUGAGGAUAUGUGUUUGCCGAGACAUCGUGUUAUGCCUAUAACCCAUUUGAGUUAUUUAACUGGUUAAAUCUCGGUGUCUACGGUCUCAGCUCUGGGGAAUUUCUCAAUCUGUGGCUAUUGUUCUCCCUAUAGUCAUCAUAUUAAUCUCACUAGCGUAUCGUAUACUCUCUCAGGUUUUAAACGCCUGUCAGUCCCCACUCACAUGCCACGUGGUAUUCACAAAGGAUUAGGCAACUGGAUGGAAUCAACAAUAACUACACAAAUGAUGAAGACGGUGACUACAUGGCCCUCUGGCCUGACUACUCAACUAAUGGAAACAGCAGAUAUAUGAUUCUUUGGCCUGAUUACAUCAACAGUGGUAAGGAGAAUAACGUGAUACCAGUUGGUCAUACUCUCAACCUGCUGAGGGAAUGACCAAAAGGGAGGGAAUUCUCGAAACGAAAACCAAACUAGAGACGAGCCUUGAAAAUUCCCUGAGCAGACAAAACCAGGUUAGUCAUACAAACAGAGCUGAAGUCAGCUUAUUUUGCAAGACUAACUUGACCUAGGUCAUUUCUUGCUUUUGCUUCCGGAAAUCAUAAGCAAAACUUGAUCUGUUCCCCAAGGUUGAUAUGAAGUAACCACUGACCAAUUAUUUAUCACUUAAGAAAAUUCUAAUAUUACAACCCUUGUGAAGAAUAAACAGUCAGUGCUUUCUCACCAAAUAAGCUUCUUAUAACAAUAUACCCCUGAGCCCCACUUCAUGUUUUGGUUUGAGUACUCCUGGUCUGCAAACUGUCUUUUUGCGGCGUGCACAAUAAACUUUUACUAAUUACUACUUCAA